AUUUUUGUGGCCUUUUAUUAAAUGAUUCUUUUUAGAUCUUUCUUUUUUGCUUCGGCAUUUUAGGAGAUCUUGUUACUUUGAGUAAAUUAGAGUGUUCAAAGCAAACAGAUUAUAGCAUCUUUAUGCGUUUGAAUACUACAGCAUGGAAUAACAAAAUUGAACAAGUCAGAAUUUUGUUCUUUUUUCUUAUUUUGGCUUAGUUACAAUCUCCUCAGGAGCGGGUGGGGGGGGUUUGUAUUCACAUGUAAAAAGAGAAAUUCUUCCCUUUUCUUGAGACAAACAAUUGAAAAAUCCUUUGCAUAAAAUAUUUACAUUAAUCAAGAACGAAAGUUAAGGGAGUGAAGACGAUCAGAUACCGUCGUAAUAUUAACCAUAAACUAUGCAGACUAGGCUAUGGAUGAAAGAUGGUAAAAUAAGCCCCCCCCCUCUGAGGAGUUAAAACUCUUAGAUUGCA
rnacentral:rRNA from 1 species